UGAUUUUGCGUCUUGGGUUUUUCUUCUUGAGGAGUAUCUUUGUAGUGUUCUCUGUGGUUCCUCACUUUGAAUAUCGGCCUGCCAUGCUAGGUUGAGGAAGUUCUCCUGGAUAAUAUCCUGAAGAGUGUUUUCCAACUUGGAUUCUUUCUCUUGGUCA